CCUACGGGAGGCUGCAGUGAGGAAUAUUGGUCAAUGGGCGCGAGCCUGAACCAGCCAAGUAGCGUGAAGGAUGACUGCCCUACGGGUUGUAAACUUCUUUUAUAAAGGAAUAAAGUGCGGCACGUGUGCCUUUUUGUAUGUACUUUAUGAAUAAGGAUCGGCUAACUCCGUGCCAGCAGCCGCGGUAAUACGGAGGAGCCGAGCGUUAUCCGGAUUUAUUGGGUUUAAAGGGAGCGUAGAUGGGUUGUUAAGUCAGUUGUGAAAGUUUGCGGCUCAACACUAAAAUUGGAAUUGAUACUGGCAGUUCUGAGUACAGUUGAGGUAGGCGGAAAUCGUGGUGGAGCGGGGAAAUG
rnacentral:rRNA from 1 species